CCUCAUGCAGAAGAUGCGACCUUUGUCGGUCGCGUUUUUAGCUGAAAGGGGCGGGCUCACUGUCGCUUCCCGCUGUCGCGGUGGAGGAAAUAGUGAGCUCCUUGGUA
rnacentral:sRNA from 1 species